GAGGGUAUAGCUCAGUGGUAGAGUGCAUGCCUAGCACACACAGAGUCCUGGGUUCAAUCCCCAGCACCUCCA
rnacentral:tRNA from 1 species